rnacentral:tRNA from 1 species
GGAAAUGUGGCUUAGUGGUAGAGUGCUUGCCUAGCAUGCAUGAAACCCUGGGUUCAAUUCAACAAUACCA